rnacentral:rRNA from 1 species
GAGCUUGCUCCCUGAUGUUAGCGGCGGACGGGUGAGUAACACGUGGGUACCUGCCUGUAAGACUGGGAUAACUCCGGGAAACCGGGGCUAAUACCGGAUGCUUGUUUGAACCGCAUGGUUAAACAUAAAAGGUGGCUUCGGCUACCACUUACAGAUGGACCCGCGGCGCAUUAGCUAGUUGGUGAGGUAACGGCUCACAAGGCAACGAUGCGUAGCCGACCUGAGAGGGUGAUCGGCCACACUGGGACUGAGACACGGCCCAGACUCCACGGGAGGCAGCAGUAGGGAAUCUUCCGCAAUGACGAAAGUCUGACGGAGCAACGCCGCGUGAGUGAUGAAGGUUUUCGGAUCGUAAAGCUCUUUGUUAGGGAAGAACAAGUACCGUUCGAAUAGGGCGGUACCUUGACGGUACCUAACCAGAAAGCCACGGCUAACUACGUGCCAGCAGCCGCGGUAAUACGUAGGUGGCAAGCGUUGUCGGAAUUAUUGGGCGUAAAGGGCUCGCAGGCGGUUUCUUAAGUCUGAUGUGAAAGCCCCCGGCUCACCGGGGAGGGUCAUUGGAAACUGGGGAACUUGAGUGCAGAAGAGAGAGUGGAAUUCCACGUGUAGCGGUGAAAUGCGUAGAGAUGUGGAGGAACACCAGUGGCGAAGGCGACUCUCUGGUCUGUAACUGACGCUGAGGAGCGAAACGUGGGGAGCGAACAGGAUUAGAUACCCUGGUAGUCCACGCCGUAACGAUGAGUGCUAAGUGUUAGGGGGUUUCCGCCCCUUAGUGCUGCAGCUAACGCAUUAAGCACUCCGCCUGGGGGAGUACGUCGCAAGACUGAAACUCAAAGGAAUUGACGGGGGCCCGCACAGCGGUGGAGCUGUGGUUUAAUUUCGAGCAACGCGGAAGAA